AUAGUUUAUGAAUUGAGGCUUAAUUUCUUACUUAUUAUUUAUAAUUUUUUUCAUAAUCAAAUGCUUUUGUAUUAUUCUUUACAGGUGGAUGAUAUGUUAGAGGAAACAGUAAUAUUAGAUCUUUAUACUCAUUUUUUAUUUAAUCUACAUUCCUUAAUAUAAUUUUUCUUUUACCUUUCAAAUGCAUUUCUAUAUAUAAACAGGUUCAGUUUCCUCGAAACAGAAAGAUCAGUGUUAUGCUCCAUAAUGAAUAGGACUACAAUGUCCUCUGUGUUCAUGGGGAUUGGGUUGAAAAAGCUAUGGAGCUCAAGAGGAUAAAUAAGAGUACAUUACUCCGAUGGAAUUGUAAUAAGUACAUAGAAGUUAAUACAUGGACAUUUCAAAAUGUGAUGGAAAACAAGUUUGAAGGCGUCCAAGAGCUUUAGAGGCGUCCAAGUACUUUUUCUAAAGGCGUCUAAGUUUUUGUAGAGGCGUCCAAGUUUGAAGACAUUAUAUGGCAUACAUUUUGUAAAGUUGACAAAAAGUACUUUUGUAAAGCACUUUUAUUAAGCUUGAUGUUAACCACUUUUGUAAAGCUUCCUACUGAUAUGUAUUUUAAUAGAUUUCUAAUAUUUUUGUAAAGUCUCUUAUCAAUGUAAAAUAUUGGACUUUAUGGAUGGUAAUUGAGUGUGGACC